rnacentral:rRNA from 1 species
UAGGGAAUCUUCGGCAAUGGACGAAAGUCUGACCGAGCAACGCCGCGUGAGUGAAGAAGGUUUUCGGAUCGUAAAACUCUGUUGUUAGAGAAGAACAAGGACGUUAGUAACUGAACGUCCCCUGACGGUAUCUAACCAGAAAGCCACGGCUAACUACGUGCCAGCAGCCGCGGUAAUACGUAGGUGGCAAGCGUUGUCCGGAUUUAUUGGGCGUAAAGCGAGCGCAGGCGGUUUCUUAAGUCUGAUGUGAAAGCCCCCGGCUCAACCGGGGAGGGUCAUUGGGAACUGGGAGACUUGAGUGCAGAAGAGGAGAGUGGAAUUCCAUGUGUAGCGGUGAAAUGCGUAGAUAUAUGGAGGAACACCAGUGGCGAAGGCGGCUCUCUGGUCUGUAACUGACGCUGAGGCUCGAAAGCGUGGGGAGCAAACAGG